CGAAAAUAUUCUGCAUGAUCUUCUCCCAAAGUAAUAUUCUUUUUUUUGGAUAGAAAUAUUGCAUUGCAGACUGACAAGUUAGAAAGUUCUACAGCAUUUUCACGGGCAUAUACUCUGUGGAGUAUUGACAAUAUGGAGGUAUGUGUGCAUGUAUAAAAUACUAAUAGUUCAAUUUGAAAAAUAAUAUGAAGUUUCAUUCUUUAUUCAUAAGGUAAUGCAUAUGGUUGAAAAACAAACUUAUAUCAGCGGAUAUAAGGAAACGAAUGUUACAGAGAAAUUUAUCUUGGAUUGAAGGUGAGAUUUCCUUUUAUUCUGAUACACUGAUUCAUUUUCUAUAGCUUCUUAUGGUACCGGUAAGUCAUUGUCAAUAGCAUUUCUUUAUCCAGAAAGACUCCCCAAAAAGUUUGAAAACACAUGAUGUAAGACAAUUAUGGUACAUUUCACGAUCAUUGUGUAGAGAACCAACGAGAAUAGCUGUUUAACUCUUGAGACGUAAUAUCCGUCUCUUCUUCAGGAAAAAAUAAAACAACAACAGGGAGCUUUGGCGAUUUAAUGUUAAAUUAAAUGUUUAUCAAAUGUAGGAAGCAAAGCAUACAGUAGCCCCUAAAUGGCCUAAUUAAAAGUGUGUCAUAUAAUUGAUUUUUCAAGGGGUUAAUUAAUGUGUCGAUUUCUAAAAAAUUAUUUCUAAGUUUUAUUUUUACAUUUUUUUGCAUUGCACAGCUGCAUGUUCUGCAAUUAUCAUUGAUAAGGCCCUAAGAGUUUUUUUUUUCAUUUUUAGACACACCAUAUCACAGAAUACAUACAUAACUGAAUCUGAACCUAUCAACAUGUUGACAAGAUCUUCCUGAUUACAAUUAACUCAAGGCCACAGAUUAAGUACUCUGUUCUACAGUGAAAGUGGUUGUAGGGGAAAAAUGGAGUACAAUGAAGUCCAUAGCUGAAGCUGCCUCUGAUUCAAGGGAUUGAGCCCUGCCUUUAACUGUUAUGCUUAGCUGAUGGAAUGUCAGUUUGUGUUAGUCGGAAGAAAGUUAUGGAGCCAUUAUAACAUUAUUUAAAGCAUUUAUGUCUAGGCUCGUGAAUAAAUUCAUUUGUAUUUUUAAACUAAAUGUAAUACCUACAUACUCUGUUUUCCAUUUAUAUAUUGUAGAGAAGUCAACGAUACAUGUCAACUUCAACAGAUGUUUUGACAGGCUGACCAGAGACCAAAAACUUUUACUUUAAAUACACAGGAGUUCAUAUAUUUUUGUAUUAAAUUGGUUGAAUAAAAUAAUUUUUAUGAAUUUGUUAUCUGUUGUGUAUUUGUUGAUAAACCCUUUAAAAAUAAAGAAAUAUAAUUUUUAAAAUUUCCCAGUUAAGAUUUUCUUCAGAUUCCAUUAAAUGAAAUUCGUAAAAUUGCAUUAAGUUUUCAGCUUAACACAAUUUUAAUGUUAGACUUUAAUUAUGGGGAAAUUAGCAUUGAGCACUAAGUAUAUUAAUAAGUUUCAUUCUAUUUUUUUUUUCUAAUAUUAUGUUCAUUUUUAGAGAAAUUGUGUGAAAAGGCAUUUAAAAUAUGAAAAAUGUUUCAAAUGUUCAAAUGUCUGCUUUGCAGCAUGUGAUCCAGGCACAUAUGGGAAGGAUUGCAAAGAGGUAUGUGGACAUUGUGAAGGUAAUGUACCUUGUAAUCACAUCAAUGGAUCCUGUCCUGGAUUAUGUGAGCCCGGAUAUCAAGGACAAAAGUGUUUAACAAAAUGCGAAAGCGGGAGAUAUGGCGAAGACUGUAGCUCGACCUGUGGACAUUGUGCAACUAAUGCAACAUGUGAUGAAAUAAAUGGCGCCUGUCGUGAUGGAAAUUGUGCACCUGGAUGGACAGACAUAGGAGACAGGAAAUGUGAUCGAGUUUGCAAUGAUGGGUGGUAUGGUACAGAAUGUAAAGAACGCUGUGGUUAUUGUAGAAAUAACAAACCGUGCCAUCACGUGACCGGAUAUUGUUCUGGAUUCUGUGAACCUGGAUAUCAUGGAGAAAAAUGUGAAGAAAGCGAGUUUUCUCAGAUUCUUGCAAUCCAGAGGAAAAUGCUCAACUGCGUAAGAAAAUUGCUUUCUUUCAAAAGACGCAAAGUUGAACUGAUUGCAAACGGCACAUCCCCCACUGACCUCAAGUAAGAGAAAUAUUCUCUGAAAGAGUCUAAGAACUAUGUAUUCACAUUAAAUGUAUUUGCUAAUA